GUAUAUAUAGCUCAAUUGGUAGAGUGCUUGCCUAACAUGCACAAGGCCCUGGGUUCAAUUCCUAGCAUGCUCC
rnacentral:tRNA from 1 species